rnacentral:lncRNA from 1 species
GCCCAAGUUCAGCACUACCGACCGCGUUCCCGUAGCCGUAGCUGCCUGGACCCGUUCCACCCCUCGCGCUCCACCGCGACGACGUCCCCGGCGAUGUCGACCUGCGGCACUGCUCAGUCGACAGUCCCUGACGCACAGUAGACGCGCGCCCCUGACGCCACGUUACCUGCUCAAUCCCUUUCUGCCGGGUCAAGAUUAAGCCCUGGAUGCAUCUCGUCGAUCACACGAUGGCUGCCUGCCCUGUCUCCUUCACACGUCAACUCCUCGUCCGAUGGCUGCGUGUGGUGGGUGAGAACUGAGACGUGGGGAAAACACAAUAUUACAGGUUCAUAACUUGGACCCUGUCAACAUCCAUGCGCAAACCCUUUUUCAUUCCAAGCCGAGCACCACGGAAUGUAAAUUCAUUCCCCAUGUUGCUGAUGGGAUUAGAACCGAGGCGGUGGUUAUGUGUGGAUGAUGUGUAACUAUUGUAAAUUCUCUGGGGUUUAAUCGGGUGAAGGCAGAAUCGAAUUUCCUAAUGUCAUCUCAUUUUGUUGGCCAAACAAGAC